AGAGUUUGAUCAUGGCUCAGAAUCAACGCUGGCGGCGCGCCUAACACAUGCAAGUCGAACGAGAAAGUCCUUCGGGAUGAGUAGAGUGGCGAACGGGUGCGUAACACGUAAGUAACCUGCCCUUGAGCGGGGGAUAACAUGCCGAAAGGCGUGCUAAUACCGCGUACAGCCAUCGAGGCUUUGGCCAUGAUGGUGAAAGAUGACCUCUAUUUAUAAGUUAUCGCUCGAGGAUGGGCUUGCGGCCCAUUAGCUAGUUGGUGAGGUAAUGGCUCACCAAGGCUUUGAUGGGUAGCUGGUUUGAGAGAACGACCAGCCACACUGGAACUGAGAAACGGUCCAGACUCCUACGGGAGGCAGCAGUGGGGAAUAUUGGACAAUGGGGGAAACCCUGAUCCAGCGACGCCGUGUGAGUGAUGAAGGUCUUCGGAUCGUAAAGCUCUGUCAGCAGGGAAAAAACCACGGAGGCUAAUAUCCUCCGUGCUGAUGGUACCUGCAGAGGAAGCAACGGCUAACUACGUGCCAGCAGCCGCGGUAAUACGUAGGGUGCGAGCGUUGUUCGAAAUUAUUGGGCGUAAAGCGCACGUAGGUUGUGAGGUAAGUCUUGUGUGAAAGCUCCGGGCUCAACCCGGAAAAUGCAUGGGAUACUACCUUGCUGGAGGAUGUGAGAGGAUAGCGGAAUUCCCAGUGUAGUGGUGAAAUACGUAGAUAUUGGGAGGAACACCGGAGGCGAAAGCGGCUAUCUGGCACAUUUCUGACGCUGAGGUGCGAAAGCGUGGGUAGCAAACAGGAUUAGAUACCCUAGUAGUCC
rnacentral:rRNA from 1 species